UAGAGAAAGAGAGGAAGAUGCCUCACCAGUCACGCUCGCAAGUGAAAUAAGUUACAGGACAUACACUUGCCCUAAUAAAAUAACUCCAUAUGGUUAUGACUGACGUGUUCUUCUGAAGAGUAACAUGAUGCCAGAUUCCACUAAUGGAAUUUUAGCUCUGAUUAAAGGACUACUCUAAGAAGCACGCAUUCAGCAAAUAAGCAUGGAGUUCACGGGGUUCUCAGGAGUGGAGUUUGAUGGCAUCCAAUGUAGAUGACACUUUGGUGACACUUAUUUUGGAGGCAGUUUUCCAGCUUUGCUCCCUCUACCGUAGCUUGGAUUGUCUGCAGACACAAAGGUAAGGGUAGCAGAACUCUAAAUGUUUGAAGUUUCUUUUUUUAAGGGUAAAGCCAUUUUUAAAGCUCAACCAAGCCCAGCUAGUUUUAGUUCUUGGUAACUCACUGUUUAGGCAACUAGUGUUCUUAAAAUGCACAAAAAUGAUGUUGUCAUCUUUCUAACUAAGCUCAAUCUGAGUCUCAGUCCAUUUUCUAACACUUCACUAAGACCUCCACCUGAAUUUUAAUAAGACUUGAAAUGCAGGGCUUUUUUUUUUCUAGUGGUUCUUUAUUUAUAAUGUAGGCUGAAGCAACUGAUACAAGGUAAAAGGGAGACACGUUACACAAUUGUUAUUUAUACAAGUUUAGAACAAAAAACUGCACAGGGAGAGGUCAACUCUCAGUACAAACUAGCAACUAAACCACAAUAAUUUACCUUUAGAAAUGAUUUCUUUAUUUUUAGCUGUGACACUGCUUUUACAAUAUGCAAAAACACAAACAGAACUACCCAAGGCGUUUUGUCACAUUCUUUCUACAUUGAAUUUGGCAACAUUUUAUAUUAAAUUUAUUCAGAUUAUACUAACGUUUAAAAACUAAACAAGUGAAAAGCUGUACCAAGGUACAGUUACAUCCAUUUAUUUGAAAGGUUUAAAAUACCACUUUUAUCUAUCGUAAUUACCUUGCAGUGAUUUCUGCUUUUGCAAAAACCAUCUCAAGCAUCAUAUGCACAAUGCAUCAGCUACUUUUAGUCAUCAAGAUUGGUGGGCUAAACCACAGGCACUACUGUUGCUUAUAUUCUGUAAGUGGAGCUUGUUUUUCAAAGAAAAAAAGCUUAAACAAUUUCUAAUAAUCAUGCCUUUGCUUGAAAGCCGUAACAUAAAAUGUUUUUGAGCAAUCACAGCAGUGUUAAAUGUUAAUAUAGAGAACACUGACUAUACAGGUACGUUUCUUUCACAUCCAGUGCAGUUAUGUAUUAAAGCAGAAGAUUAUGUAAUUGAAGAUUGGAGCCAACAGAGAUCUGCAGGACCCACCCGGCUCCUAUUCCUUGAGAGGUUCGGUCCCAAACGAGUACUUUCAACUGACCCGAAGGGGCUGGCUUUUUUAAACACCAUUGCAUUCCUCAAACGUGGUCCCUUUAAAUCUACACAUCUCUGCUGGCUUUAGGGGAUGGGCAUUGUAACAAAUUUAACUUUCACUUAGAAAAGACAGAAAUCCAUUCCAAAAAACACUGCCUAGAAUACAAAAAAAAAAGGGACAGUACGGUGGUCAGAUUCCCAGUGACAGAAAUAAAUCCUCCUCUCUCCGAUGUUUAGUGUGAAGCCAAUUAACUGCCAUUAUUUAAAAGAAGAUAAGAAAAACAAGCCUCCAGACUGGUAAACACAUUGGCAAGUUGCCAGACUCCAAGCUGGUUACCCUUGUUAAAUCCGCUCCAGUUUUUCCAAAAUAUUUGGGCUUUUCAACGCGCCCAGCCUGCUAGGCACAGUUAAGUAAAAGGCAUUUGCUAUAUCUAAGAAUUCCCUGCUAUCAAUCAUUUUUAAAUGUUUUCACAUUUUUAAAACUGCCUUACCCUUCUGGAUGUGUUUGGAUUCAGUGAAAGUGGGUAUAACUAACAGACAGGUAACUGAAGUGGGGGGUUCUAUGUCUACCCGGUGGCGGCAGCAUGCACGGGACUGGAGGUGGGUGCUGUGUGCAGUCAGGAGCGAUCGUGGGAGAAAGGAAGUCCUUAAACACCCUGCAGAAACAAACACUGCAACCCAGUGUGGCUUAUUCGGAUGCAUUUACCAUGAAGCUACUAGAAAUUCAACCUACGAGGCUACUGUUAAAUGUAACAGGAUCGGCUGUGUUGACAGUGUGCCCCUCCCGCGACCCUCCCCCCAGUCCCAACACAGCCUCUACCAUUUCCAGAGUUCCCUCACUCCUAAUGUUGCGCAUCAGCUGACUCCCGCUUUCCUCAUUCCGAAUGUAGUAUACUUGAAUAAGGAUUUUUACCCCUUACCCAUUUUGUUUGUACAUUACACUAACUUGAAUUUGUGUCUAAGCCAGACUACUACAAUGCAUCUACAAAAGCUUGCAGGAAA